rnacentral:lncRNA from 1 species
UGUAGAAUAUGCUUAAUUCAAUUUAUGGAUUUAUUUGGAACAAAAAAAAUAUCCUCCUUUUCCAUUACAUAUUCCAUUUCAUACGUUUCCUUUGUACAAGUCCGCAGCAGCCUGGCAUGGUGGGGGCGAGAUGAUGCCUUGAGUCGGGAAAUAGAAACGGAAAGUACUUGGAGUGCAAGUCAUCGAUGGAACUCACUCACUCACUCACACACUCACACACUCACUCACUCACUCACACACUCACACACUCACUCACACACUCACACACUCACUCACACACUCACACACUCACACACUCACUCUCACACACUCACACACUCACUCA